rnacentral:rRNA from 1 species
AUUGAACGCUGGCGGCAGGCCUAACACAUGCAAGUCGAGCGGAGCGGCGGACGGGUGAGUAAUGACUAGGAAUCUGCCUGGUAGUGGGGGAUAACGUCCGGAAACGGGCGCUAAUACCGCAUACUCUCAGAUGAGCCUAGGUCGGAUUAGCUAGUUGGUGGGGUAAUGGCUUACCAAGGCGACGAUCCCUAACUGGUCUGAGUGGAUGAUCAGUCACACUGGAACUGAGACACGGCCCAGACUCCUACGGGAGGCAGCAGUGGGGAAUAUUGGACAAUGGGCGAAAGCCUGAUGCAGCCAUGCCGCGUGUGUGAAGAAGGCCUUCGGAUUGUAAAGCACUUUAAGUCGGGAGGCGUUACCAACAGAAUAAGCACCGGCUAACUCCGUGCCAGCAGCCGCGGUAAUAC